GCGUUUGAAUCAUUCAAUUCCAUUCCAUUCCAUUCCACCCAACCUCCCUUCCUUCCUCCUUCCCCUCCCAUUCAAUUUCCCAAACUCCCAUCCCCCACUCCGUCCGUCACUCACCCGGACCCCCAAACCCUAGCCCCCACGCGCACGCAGUCCAUGGGGUGCGCGCACGGCAAGUGCUGCCUGCCGCGGGGCGACGGCGGGGGGCGGCGGGAAGGCGGCGGCGUGCCGGGCGGCCUCGGCGGCUCCACCCUCGGCCGCGCCGCGGUGCCGGGGGCCGGCCUGGCGCUGGAGUACGCCACGCUGACGGUCGACGGCCUCUACCCGGACUCCCCGGGCCGGGAGACGCAGGACGCGUACCUGGUGGCCACGCGCUUCGCGGGCGACCCCGAUCUCCACCUCUUCGCCGUCUUCGACGGCCACGGCGCCUGCGGGGCCGCCUGCUCCGGGUUCGCGCGCGACGCGCUCCCGCGCCUCCUCCUCCUCGCGGCCGAGGACGACGGCGCCGGCGCCGGCGGGAGCCUCCUCGCGACGGACCCCGCGGGCGCGUUCCGGGCGGCGAUGAUUGGGGUCAACGAGGAGAUGCACGCGGCGCCGGCCGUCGACGACUCCAUGAGCGGGACCACGGCCGUGGCCGCGCUCGUGGCCGGCGGCGCGCUCCACGUGGCCAACGUCGGGGACUCGCGCGCCGUCGCCGGGGUCUGGCGCGACGGCCGCGUCGCCGCCGAGGAGCUGUCGUGGGACCAGACGCCGUUCCGCGCCGACGAGCGCGCGCGCGUCAAGGCCUGCGGCGCGCGGGUCAUGUCGGUCGAGCAGGUGGAGGGCGUGCGCGACCCGGACGCCGAGGGCUGGCUCGCCGACGAGGGGGACCCGCCUCGCGUCUGGGCCCGCGACGGCCUCUACCCGGGCACGGCCUUCACGCGCAGCCUCGGCGACCUCGCCGCCGAGGGCGUCGGGGUCAUCGCCGACCCUGAGGUGAAGACCGUGGAGAUCACCCCGGCCCACCUCUUCUUCGUCGUCGCAAGCGAUGGCGUCUUCGAGUUCCUCUCCAGCCAGGAAGUCGUCGACAUGGUGGCUAUGCAUCAAGACCCUCGAGAUGCUUGCGCAGCAAUCGCUGCAGAGUCAUACAAACUAUGGCUAGAGCACGAAAACAGGACAGAUGAUAUAACAAUAAUCAUCGUGCAUAUCCGGGAUGCUCAAAAUUCAGGUCCUGCAGGGAGUGACAAAGAGAACUCCAGCAGCACCGGGGCGCCGAUAGCAUUGCACACGGUACAGCCAGAGCUGCCUGUAUUUGUACCGUCGGAGCUACCUGUAUUUGUACCGUCAGAAGCAAGUCACCUGAACGCAGUGGCUACUGCUGAACUGCGGCGGCCAUCCUCCUCUGGCUCUCCAUCGGAACGACGCCUCUCAUGCGUUGCUCCUUCGCCUACACACCCUUUACUGGAAGGAGGUAAAGCAUCGGAAGCUUCCAGGUCGACCCAGAUCGACAUUCCUUUAUCCGAACCAGUGGAAGCUUGGCAUCCUAGUCAAGGUGGUAACAAGCUAGAGCGGGCAGUCUCCUGCUGACCAUGCAUGAGUCCUCUAGCUUAAAUCUCACAACAGGAGUGGCAGCACACCCGUCGUCAUCCCCCGUAAGGGGGGCUGACUUCCCGAACAGUGGGUGUGAUGCAGGCUGGCAAUGUUUGUUCUGCGCCGGUUGCAAGUUGCUCGUGUUUUCUUAGAGCACCUGCUGACUGACAAUGAAAAGGAUUCUGACCCAAACAGGGUCGUUUAACAUAAGGAUUGAUGGGCUUGAGCUUGUGGCAUUGGACGCCGCCAAGCGUUAACUGGAAAUGGAGUCAAGUAUCUGAAGAAUUUGUAUUUGUUAUUUAUCACAUCAUGUUAAGUUGAUGCUUGCAGACCUGCAGUCAUAUGGUAUGAGCUGCGGUGCAGUGUGAUACCGCAACGAAUAAUUGCCGCUUAUUCUUAAUCGGAUGGGAAGGAAGUGGUCUUUCAGUCUUUGUGAGUAGGAUAGUGAGAAAUGCUCAGGGCUUACUGAAAGAGACUCCUUAGCUUUAUAUUCCACCAAAAUGCCUUGUAUGCUCCUAAAAACUCUUAAUUUGGCAAGUCAUAUUA